rnacentral:lncRNA from 1 species
GUUUUGGAAGCAGUAGGGAUGGAGAGAGGUUGGGGAAGCUGUGUCUCUCUGCAAUGAGUGGCACUGGGAGAAGAGACCUGGUAGACUGUGGAGUAGAUGAAACGGGCCUCUCAAUGCUGAGGGAUCACUCAAGAGGAGGAAAACAGAAUGACGUCAUGAAUGAAUGAAUGGUGCAGAGACAAAAUGGACAAUCC